rnacentral:lncRNA from 1 species
CAUGUCUCGAACGGACGCUCCCCAUGUUUUUGUUUGAUAAGCUGCCACCAUAUAAUUGUAUGAUCGGAGAACUCUUGAAUUGCCCGUCUGACCUUCCUCCUCUCGGAGUAAUCAUGAUAGUCAAAUUCUCGCUCCAUUUUUCUCUCCCAUCUCAGAUAUGCCUCUGUAUCAAUAUUGCCUUGGAAAGUAUUCCUUUGAGACCCAUAAGAACUUUCAUAAUUGUAGCCAUACAUGUUUGCUGUAAAACAAAGGUUAGUAGAUAAAAAUUUUCCUCACACACUCCCUUACGUGUUUCGCUCAAAUAAUGAUGAAUCACUCGUGUAUCGCUCAAAUUUGGCUUUUACCCUCUAAUAAUCUUACACUCAAGCCUUUUACCUCAAAUAUUCUCUCUAAUAGGUUCUUAUUGAAUUCCCUAGCAAAAUUCUUGGUUUUACUAAUCAAUUCAAAAUUACUUAUCACGAAACAAAAUUAUAGAUGGUGUAACUAUUAGAAUAUCACAAAAUCACCGAUCGAUUGUCUUGUACUC